UGGGGAAUAUUGCACAAUGGGGGAAACCCUGAUGCAGCGACGCCGCGUGAGCGAAGAAGGCUUUCGAGUCGUAAAGCUCUGUCCUAUGAGAAGAUAAUGACGGUAUCAUAGGAGGAAGCCCUGGCUAAAUACGUGCCAGCAGCCGCGGUAAUACGUAUGGGGCGAGCGUUGUCCGGAAUUAUUGGGCGUAAAGGGUACGUAGGCGGUUUUUUAAGUCAGGUGUCAAAGCGUGGAGCUUAACUCCAUUAAGCACUUGAAACUGAAAGACUUGAGUGAAGGAGAGGAAAGUGGAAUUCCUAGUGUAGCGGUGAAAUGCGUAGAUAUUAGGAGGAAUACCGGUGGCGAAGGCGGGUCUCUGGGCCGUUACUGACGCUGAGGAGCGAAAGCGUGGGGAGCGAACAGG
rnacentral:rRNA from 1 species